ACAUAAUCGAAAUCGCUCGCGUAAUUAACAUUUACAACGGAAAUGCUGUGGAGGGAACGAUACGAAAAUACGAAUCUCCUUUUUUAUUAACUAGAAUAAUUUAUUUUUCUCAUGGUAGAAAAAGGAGAAUGUAUCUUAACUCACGAACUGCAUUGUACUUAUAUAUAUACAAUUACAUACAAUCCUCAAUUGAACGUUACACAUAAACUCAGUACACAUCGAUUUCUUAUUACUUCCUUGUCCUCGUGAAUAUGUUCCCGAAAGAAACAAACUGCUCGCUAUGUGUAUCCGAAAAUACGAUCAUCCAAUUGUCGGCGCGAAGUGGGGGAAAAAUGAUUUCGAGAAAAAUGGUUGUGAAUAUAUGAAUUGUGUGCGGCGUGCCGUGAAUUUUGUUGCGUGAAUUGAAAGGGGGAAAAUUAGAAUUUUCGAAAAAUACAUAGGGAUUUCUGUGCGAAGAAGUCUUUAUACUUUGUAUAAAGGAGCUACAGCGCAUGUGUAGUUUGUAUACGUGCGUUUGUGUGCGCGUGCCGUGUUGGCGGAUGGAAAGAUUUUCGGAUGGGAAUAUAUCUCGAGAGGAGCAUUUCGUGACGGGAAGAUUUCGAGGCUCUCUUUCUCCCGCAUUAUAUCUCGGUAUCUGCCGAAUUGCGCGUCGCUACAUUCUUGUUCGUGUGUAAACAUUCUCGGACAAUUAAAAUUACUGAUAGCAAGCGGUAGCUGGAAGAAGAAAACAAAAAUACCCGAUCGAGAGCCGAACGAUGCGAGUUUCGAGAGAUUUUUCGACCGCGAUUCUUAACACGAGGAAAGUACACACGAACAAACGAGGAAACACGAAGCAAAUUAUAUGCCACGAGUCGAGAAGAUCCUGGAAAGUUUCAUAUGACGGAAUCUGCAAAUUAUCUACGCUACAAUUUUUUUAAUUUCAACGAUCAUGACGCGAGAACUUCUAAAUUCAUACAAACAAUUGUCAGAAAUUAUACUCGCUAUUGAAAGACGUUCCAACUAUCCAACUCGCGAAGUCGAUGAACAAAUCAUUUGUGACUUCGAUAUUACAAAUAUACGAUAUUAUAAAUAUCUCAAAAGAUUCAGAUAUCGAAGAUGGUAAACGUCAGGUAAAUAUCUUCAAAUCUAGUCAGACGUGAUUGGUGUAUAAAAGUGAUAGAUCAAGAAUUUAAUCUAAUUUUUUUUUUUUUUUUUUCCAGAUAAUGGGACGUCAUAAAAGACCACGCGCUCUUGAUUUCGACUUAAUGGUCCCGUAUAACGUGCUGAUUGAUAUUAAAAGCUCCUACUAUAUAUCGAUCCAAACUGUAUCGGAUUACAAGAGGUAACGUAGCCCUAUCGCAAGGAUCCUCGCGACUCGCAGCAACGUAUAUGUACAGAGCGUAUUUUUUAUGUACACAUGUACAUAUGUACACAACGUGCGUUUCGACUUACUGCUACGAGCAGAUAUAUAUAUAUAUAUAUAUAUAUUGGCCGAGGAGGGUUUGAUCCCGAUAUCGCAAAUAACAGACCGAUCAACCCGGCAGUGGUAUGACCCGAAAAAUUUGCAUUCCGUCCCUUCACCUCCUCCGGGGAUUUUCGAUUCGUGUAUCAUUUAAACUAAAUUACAGUACAAAUCGUGUAUUUUUUUUUUUUAUUGAUUCGUUAUUUUAUUACCAAAUAACAUUUCCGCAUGUGUUUCUGUAUGUAACUUAAUCUAGUCUAUAAUUUUUGUAACGCAUUUUAUAUACUUGGUGUAUAUCUCUUGAUCAAGAAAUGUUUUUUUCAAACAAAUAUAGAGUUUGCGCAGAUACACACGUAGACAAAUGAUCGAACUAUAUUCGGUACUAUUUAUUGUUCAAAAUAAUGGGAACAUGAUCUCGAUAUGCAUUAAUAUAUAUGUAUGUGUAUAUAUAUAUAUAUAUAUAUGUGUAUAUAAUCGCCUUACUAUAUUAUUAUUUAAAAAAGAGCACCUAAGACAAAUGUGUGAAUAUACCACUGCCGGGCUAAGAGCGGCUUAUGAGCGAUUAUCGGCGGUAGUUUAGCGCUAUUUUUCUCUUUACGUUAAGUGUGAAACGUAGUUCUCCUUCCCGGGAGGAAUUCGAAAGAUCGGUGUGAGAUGUAUGAGUGUGUUCUGUGUGGGUUGUUGUUGUUUGCGUCAUGUCGUCAUGAACGGAUCAACAGCACGGCAUUUUAUAUACGAACCGCAGGAACAAAAAAAAAAACCAACAAGCACACAUUUUACGCACGAAUGUGAGAAAUUCAACUGGGAAAAUGAAAUUAAAUCAAACGACGAAACGUGACGCGAAGAAUAGGAGGAGUUCUGUUCCCUGAAUCUCGCGUUCUCUAAGAUACAUAUAAUUUUGUUCCGCCGAUCGCUCGAGCGUCUCAAUAGCGGAGCUAUAUAAUCCUAAUGUUGUCUUUUUAAUUUUUUUUUUUUUGCUCGGUGCAACAAGUGAAUAAACAAAAGAAGAGUAAGAAAUCAAGAAAAAAAAAACCAAGAUUAAAAACAUGGAAGGAAAACGCGAACAACUAUUCUUUUCUCUCUUUUUUUUUGUGCGCCUAGCAGCAUUUUUUUAUCUUUUUUUCGUCCUUAAUUUCAUAGAAUUCUUUUAAAACUUAUGAGGUAGCGAUGGCAUUACGUGAAUAAUUCCUUCUCUCCUCUAAUCCAACCCUCUCGCGCGCGAUCACGGAGUGAAAAAAAGAAAAAGAAAUUUGCUUCUUUAUAUAUAUAUGGACUUUUUGUUCCUUCUCCGUGUACGCGCCUUUCUUGCUUUCUUUCUCUCUCUUUUUCUCGAAGAAACGGCUAUUUUGGGUUUUAGUAUUACUAAUCUCGUCUCUCGAUAUAUAUUAUGUCCAGCGUCCGAUCGGUCACCCCGUCUCAGUGUUGGCAGUGUAUGGACAGCCUUGAAAUAGUUAUUAUCGCGAAGGAACGAUCGAUAGAGAUCGCACCUUGAAUCAAACCUCGGAUCGCACGGUGGAAUUUGAUUCAUCUCUCUUUUUUUCUGUGGAAGAAAAAUGUAUAUCUUCUUUUCGGUAUUAACCUGUUGCGUUUUCAAACAAACGAUUGAAAAAUUUUCGUCGUUUCUCGACAAUGACAUUGAAACAAAAGCCAAGUUGAACAAUUUAAAAAAAAAAAAAAAAAUUAAUCGCAAUGGAUUAACACCUGUCUAUUUUACGUCGAUAUUUCCUGGAUCGUUUUCUACCGUGCGAUCCGCUUUCCACGGACGUGAUAUCGCUCCUUAGCGUGUAUAAUCAGUCGCAAAAGUUCGGUAGUAAAAUGAGACGAGGCGCACCUGCGCGGAAAACUGCGUACAAAAGAGUUGUCGCUCGAUUUUUCUCCUCUCCAUCUUUCUCAUACAUACAUACACAUAUAUUCUCACUCUCGCUUCUUACCUUUCUCUCUCUCUCUCUUUCGCUCACUCACUCGCUUCAUUCGCCCGCUUCAUUCGACGAACGGCUAUUUUACGGGUUGCACAUAUAAUCUGGCACGUCGACUAAUCAUCCGCCUCACAUGUGUAAUUAAGUUUAAGCUUUACAUAUAUAUAUAAUAUAUUAUAUAUCUAUGUACAACAGAUGUAUAGUGUGUAUAUGCGCUGCGUUAACUAUGUAUACAUAGGUAUAUUUCUCGGGACGUCUCUCGGGGAAAGGGUAAAUGCAGUGUAGAGAAUAAGUUAUAUUCCGCGCGGCUCUGUUUCAUAAUGCCCAUUAUUGGCAACAAUAGGAUAAUAAUAGAUAAUACACCGGAAGUCCCUUUCGGGGCUUCCACCGUCGUCGUCCUACUAUCUCUUUCUCCAUUUUUCACGAUGUCUCUUCUUAACAUCCCUAACUUAGAUCACCUUACGUUAAUAAACGCCUUCUCUUUCUGUCUCUCAUCCCAUCUCCAUCAUCCGGAGGCGUAUUAUAAUGCGCGCUUAAAAAGAGCUAUACUAUCUGUAUUUAGUGAUAUCAACCUGUCACAGUAAUAACAAUGCCCAAGUGUGUAUAAUAAGGCCCUCGAUUGCCGCCAUGUGCCCGGUCCCAAAACCGUUCCCUAAAGUACCUAUUUCAUGGUUUUCUUCAAGCGAAUUCUUUCCAGUCACGCACCAAGUAUCUGAAUAAAAAGAGAAGCGGAGCUUUCUUACAGCUGGUUUCGAGUAAAGCGAUCUUAUUCAACGAAUCUCUGAGUUGAUCGUCAAACCAAAAGUUUGGUAAUAUAUAUACUGUAUAUAUUUUUAAUUACUAAUCAGAGACUUUUUUAGAAUUGGGCUAAGUUACCCUUGACAACUCAUUAUUAAAUUUCCGAAAACCUCUAAUGAGAACUCCAUUAUUAUCAUGAGACAUCGAUCUGCAAUUUAUUCAGAUACUUGUGAGGCCAAUCAAUGUCGUUGCAUGAAGUUUCCGAAAAAGAUAAUCGUCGAUUCAACAAGAGGAACAAGAACGCAACCGUCAGUUCGAUCUCGUCCUCUCGGCGAAACGAGUUCGGAAAAAAGCGACAACUGCUCUCCCCCCUACCCUUGAAAAUUUUUCCGGCGGCCCUGUAACACUAUAUCCUACAUUUACUCCGAAUCGCACAUUUUACUUCCUCCGUAAAUCAAAAUCCUAAUACUAAAGCCCAAAAUAUUUCAUCACUUCUGGUCACGAUCUACCACUUUACAUGUUUCCAUCAUAAUGUUUCCUCCCUCCCCCCCCAAAAA